CAUACAAGUAGUAGGAAGGAAACUGGACCGACCUUCGGGAGCUUGUACAGGUGCUGCAUGGCUGUCGUCAGCUCGUGUCGUGAGAUGUUCGGUUAAGUCCGCUAACGAGCGCAACCCUCGCUGUGUGUUACAAGUGUCACACGGAACUGCCGGUCAUAAACCGGAGGAAGGUGGGGAUGACGUCAAGUCAGCAUGGCCUUUAUAUCCUGGGCUACACACACGCUACAAUGGGAAGGGACAAUAGGUUGCGAAGCCGCGAGGCGGAGCCAAUCCAGCAAAACUUCCCUCAGUUCAGAUUGCAGGCUGCAACUCGCCUGCAUGAAGUUGGAGUUGCUAGUAAACGCAGGUCAGCCAUACUGCGUUGAAUACGUUCCCGGGGCUU
rnacentral:rRNA from 1 species